GGAGAAUGUUAUCACGGGAGACACACGGCGGGUGCUAACGUCCGUCGUGAAGAGGGAAACAACCCAGACCGCCAGCUAAGGUCCCAAAGUCAUGGUUAAGUGGGAAACGAUGUGGGAAGGCCCAGACAGCCAGGAUGUUGGCUUAGAAGCAGCCAUCAUUUAAAGAAAGCGUAAUAGCUCACUGGUCGAGUCGGCCUGCGCGGAAGAUGUAACGGGGCUAAACCAUGCACCGAAGCUGCGGCAGCGACGCUGAUGCGUUGUUGGGUAGGGGAGCGUUCUGUAAGCCUGCGAAGGUGUGCUGUGAGGCAUGCUGGAGGUAUCAGAAGUGCGAAUGCUGACAUAAGUAACGAUAAAGCGGGUGAAAAGCCCGCUCGCCGGAAGACCAAGGGUUCCUGUCCAACGUUAAUCGGGGCAGGGUGAGUCGACCCCUAAGGCGAGGCCGAAAGGCGUAGUCGAUGGGAAACAGGUUAAUAUUCCUGUACUUGGUGUUACUGCGAAGGGGGGACGGAGAAGGCUAUGUUGGCCGGGCGACGGUUGUCCCGGUUUAAGCGUGUAGGCUGGUUUUCCAGGCAAAUCCGGAAAAUCAAGGCUGAGGCGUGAUGACGAGGCACUACGGUGCUGAAGCAACAAAUGCCCUGCUUCCAGGAAAAGCCUCUAAGCAUCAGGUAACAUCAAAUCGUACCCCAAACCGACACAGGUGGUCAGGUAGAGAAUACCAAGGCGCUUGAGAGAACUCGGGUGAAGGAACUAGGCAAAAUGGUGCCGUAACUUCGGGAGAAGGCACGCUGAUA
rnacentral:rRNA from 1 species